GAAAUGCGAUAAGUAAUGUGAAUUGCAGAAUUCAGUGAAUCAUCGAAUCUUUGAACGCACAUUGCGCCCGGCAGCAAUCUGCCGGGCAUGCCUGUCCGAGCGUCAUUUCUGCCCUCGAGCGCGGUUAGGCCCCUAGCGGGCCGGCCGCCGCCCGGUGUUGGGGCGCUGCGGGCCCUCGUGCCCGCAGGCCCUGAAAUGAAGUGGCGGUCCCGCCGCGGCGCCCCCUGCGUAGUAGUAAAGCACCUCGCAUCGGGUCCCGGCGGAGGCCAGCCGUCGAACCUCUCUUUUGAUGGUUUGACCUCGGAUCAGGUAGGGUUACCCGCUGAACUUAAGC
rnacentral:misc_RNA from 1 species